UGUAUUCCUUAUCUGUUAUCUGUUUUUUAAUGUUUAUGUGGAGCCUAUCUCCACGCUACUCUACUUAUCAAUCAACCCCAAAAUAGCGGGAAGAUAGGCCCUGCUGGUAUUGCCGCUAAAACCCUCAAA
rnacentral:sRNA from 1 species